CACAAAGUCCCAGCAGUCCUCCCUACUCCUGGGAAGUGGGUGCCUGGGAAGAUGACACAUUCACAGGAUUUUCUAGGAUGUCACAUCUGAAGGCCCUUUGGGGAGAAGAAGCAUGUUGGAAGUCCUGGGGCGAUGGAAGAAAAGUAGCUUUCUGAUGCCUCAAUUAUCUCCCAUCUCCCUGCCUGGCUGCCUGCCAUCCUGGGUGCUGGUUGAGACUCAGCUGCUGGAGACACUCAGUGCACUGCAAGAAGCCCGGAGGGUGACCGCUAGUAACCCAGCGGCACAUGACAGUGGCCAGCUGCCAGCUGGCUCCCUCCCGAAGCCUCCCAGCUGGCAACAGCUCCAAAGUCAGACAAGCCACGGCUCCUGGGCUGUCUCAGGGGAUGAGUUUUUAUGGCCUUGUUUUAUAUAACUUCCUGGCAAGAUCUGAACAAGAAGUAGCAUCGCUUGGAAUAGGAGGAGCAAGAAGCAAUGUUUCACUCUCACUUCUGCCAGACACUGUGCUAAAUGUACAUUGCUUAGUCUUCCCUGCAAGCCUGUAAGGUAGGUAUGGUCCAUUUUUAUAAACUAGAGCUCUCAGAAAAGUAAUUCUUGUGUUUGCU
rnacentral:lncRNA from 1 species